rnacentral:rRNA from 1 species
UACGGAGGGGGCAAGCGUUGUUCGGAAUCACUGGGUGUAAAGGGUGCGUAGGCGGUCCGUUAAGUCUGAUGUGAAAGCCCUGGGCUCAACUCAGGAAUUGCAUUGGAAACUGGCGGGCUGGAGUACGGGAGAGGGAAGCGGAAUUCCUGGUGUAGCGGUGAAAUGCGUAGAUACCAGGAGGAACACCGGUGGCGAAGGCGGUUUCCUGGCCCAGUACUGACGCUGAGGCACGAAGGUCAGGGGAGCAAACGGG